rnacentral:rRNA from 1 species
UGCCAGCAGCCGCGGUAACACGAACCGUCCAAACGUUGUUCGGAAUUACUGGGCGUAGAGCGCGCGUAGGCGGCUAUUUAAGUCAGAUGUGAAAGUCCACGGCUCAACCGUGGAAGUGCAUUUGAAACUGGAUGGCUUGAGUACUGGAGGGGGUGGUGGAAUUCCCGGUGUAGAGGUGAAAUUCGUAGAUAUCGGGAGGAAUACCGGUGGCGAAGGCGGCUCACUGGCUCGAUACUGACGCUGAGGUGCGAAAGCGUGGGGAGCAAACAGGAUUAGAUA